rnacentral:piRNA from 1 species
UGAAAAAACUAGUUCAGGUCAUGAUGGA